GGCUGGUCCAAAGGUAGUGAGUUAUCUUACUUGAUUGUUCACAGUCAGUUACAGAUUGAACUUGAUCUACUACUUUCCUCCCUUCUCACUACUGCACUUGACUAGUCUUUA
rnacentral:Y_RNA from 1 species